CUUGAGACUCCUGCUCCUAAUAUAGACCCAACUGGUUUGUGGGACAGGCAGGGGGAGAGGAGCCUGCAUGUAGCAGGAUCUAGCGUUUAUUGUUGGGUCUGUAGUGCCCAAGUCUUACAUGGAGAAAAUACUUAUCAGGCAGAUCAUGUUUCAAGAGAUGCGUGAAGAAUUGAAGAAUUCAGAGGCUGAUGCUGAGAUGUACAUGAAGUUCAUGAAAAGUCAUUGCUGCUAUGAGGCCAUUCCAACCAGCUGUAAACUGGUCAUAUUUGACACAACACUACAAGUGAAGAAAGCCUUUUUCGCUCUUGUAGCAAACGGCUUGAGAGCUGCACCUCUCUGGGAUAGCAAGACACAGAGGUUUGUGGGUAUGCUGACUAUAACAGAUUUCAUCAACAUUCUCCAUCGUUACUACAGGUCCCCAUUGGUUCAAAUGAAUGAGCUGGAGAGGCAUCAAAUUGGAACAUGGCGAGAUGUGUACCUGCAAUACUCCAACCACUGUCUUCACAGUAUCACUCCAGACGCUAGCCUCUUCGACGCCAUCUAUUCCCUACUGAGGUAUAAGAUCCACAGAUUGCCGGUUAUCGAUCCGGUGUCCGGAAAUGUCUUACACAUUCUCACGCACAAGCGAAUCCUCAAGUUUCUCCAUAUAUUUUACUCUACACAGAAAAAGACAGUCCCAAAACCCUGCUUCAUGCAGAAGACGAUCCAGGACGUUGGGAUCGGGACAUUCCGGAACAUUGCCACGGUCCAGCAGACGGCCUCAGUCUACGAUGCCCUGUCUGUGUUUGUAGAGAGGAGGGUCUCUGCACUGCCCGUAGUAAAUGAGCAAGGCAAGGUGGUGGCUCUCUACUCCAGAUUUGAUGUGAUUAAUCUGGCUGCCCAGAAGACAUACAACAACCUGAACAUGUCCAUGCAGGAGGCCAUCCAACGGCGCUGCUGUUUCAUUGAGGGCGUCAUCAAGUGUCUCCCCGACGAGACCCUGGAGACCAUCAUUGAUCGCAUAAUUAAGGCUGAGGUCCAUCGGCUGGUCCUAGUGGACAAAGAGGACGUGUGCAGGGGGAUCAUCUCUCUCUCUGACCUGCUCCAGGCCAUGGUGUUAAGCCCGGCAGGUAUUGAUGCCCUUUUAGCCUCUUAGCAGGCCCCCUUGCCCUACCUCCAUCUUCUACCGCCUCUAGCCCCACCUUCCUGGCCCAGAGAUUUCAAGCAAAUCAAACUGACAUCACUAGAGGACAAUGUGAAGUCCAUGGUGGAUGAAAAGGGAGACCGUUUUCAAAAUGUCAACAUACCGUUGUAGAGAAAAACAUAAUCCGCAACAAUCAGCUGUAUCAGUUGAGUUCAAUAAAACACAAUAGUCAUUAGUUACAUUUGAUCAAAUUGAGGAUGUAAGUUUGUGUUACUUUGUGUUGCGCUGAAUUUGUGCUGUAUUAAACAUGUUCAAAUCAA